UACGGGGGGGGUAAGCGUUGUUCGGAAUUACUGGGCGUAAAGGGCGCGUAGGCGGUUCGUUAAGUCCUGUGUGAAAUCCCCCGGCUCAACUGGGGAACUGCACAGGAAACUAGCGGGCUUGAGUUCGGGAGAGGGAAGCGGAAUUCCGGGUGUAGCGGUGAAAUGCGUAGAGUAUCCGGAGGAACACCGGUGGCGAAGGCGGCUCCUGGACCGACACUGACGCUGAGGCGCGAAAGCUAGGGGAGCAAAGCGGG
rnacentral:rRNA from 1 species